rnacentral:rRNA from 1 species
UACGAAGGAUGCAAGCGUUAUCCGGAUUUAUUGGGUUUAAAGGGAGCGUAGGCGGUCUUAUAAGUCAGUGGUGAAAUCCUAUCGCUUAACGAUAGACGUGCCAUUGAUACUGUAGGACUUGAGUACAGAUGCCGUUGGCGGAAUGUGUCAUGUAGCGGUGAAAUGCAUAGAUAUGACCCGGAACACCUAUUGCGAAGGCAGCAGGCUAAGCGAAGAUUGACGCUGAGGCUCGAAAGCGUGGGGAUCAAACAGG